rnacentral:rRNA from 1 species
AACGAACGCUGGCGGCAUGCCUAACACAUGCAAGUCGAACGAGACCUUCGGGUCUAGUGGCGCACGGGUGCGUAACGCGUGGGAACCUGCCCUUAGGUUCGGAAUAACUCAGAGAAAUUUGAGCUAAUACCGGAUAAUGUCUUCGGACCAAAGAUUUAUCGCCUUUGGAUGGGCCCGCGUAGGAUUAGCUUGUUGGUGGGGUAAUGGCCUACCAAGGCGACGAUCCUUAGCUGGUCUGAGAGGAUGAUCAGCCACACUGGGACUGAGUCACGGCCCAGACUCCUACGGGAGGCAGCAGUGGGGAAUAUUGGACAAUGGGCGAAAGCCUGAUCCAGCAAUGCCGCGUGAGUGAUGAAGGCCUUAGGGUUGUAAAGCUCUUUUACCAGGGAUGAUAAUGACAGUACCUGGAGAAUAAGCUCCGGCUAACUCCGUG